AUGGGGUCCAUGGGGUCUAUGGGGACAUCAUUGGGGUCUAUGGGGUCUAUGGGGUCUAUGGGGACAUCAUUGGGGUCUAUGGGGGCAAUGGGGUCUAUGGGGUCUAUGGGGACAUCAUUGGGGUCUAUGGGGCCUAUGGGGUCUAUGGGGGCAUCAUUGGGGUCUAUGGGGACAUCAUUGGGGUCUAUGGGGGCAUCAGUGGGGUCUAUGGGGUCUAUGGGGUCUAUGGGGGCAUCAUUGGGGUCUAUGGGGUCUAUGGGGUCUAUGGGGUCUAUGGGGACAUCAUUGGGGUCUAUGGGGUCUAUGGGGACAUCAUUGGGGUCUAUGGGGUCUAUGGGGUCUAUGGGGUCUAUGGGGACAUCAUUGGGGUCUAUGGGGUCUAUGGGGUCUAUGGGGUCUAUGGGGUCAUCAUUGGGGUCUAUGGGGUCUAUGGGGUCAUCAUUGGGAUCUAUGGGGUCUAUGGGGUCUAUGGGGUUAUCAUUGGGGUCUAUGGGGGCAUCAUUGGGGUCUAUGGGGGCAUCAUUGGGGGCAUUGGGGCCAUCAUUGGGGUCUAUGGGGCCAUCAUUGGGGUCUAUGGGGACAUCAUUGGGGUCUAUGGGGACAUCAUUGGGGUCUAUGGGGUCAUUGGGGUCUAUGGGGCCAUCAUUGGGGUCUAUGGGGACAUCAUUGGGGUCUAUGGGGUCAAUGGGAUCAAUGGGAUCAAUGGGGUCAUUGGGAUCAAUGGGGUCAAUGGGUUCAAUGGGAUUAAGGGGCUCAAUGGGGUCAAUGAGAUCAAUGGGGUCAAUAGGGUCAAUAGGAUCAGUGGGAUCAAUAGGAUCAAUGGGGAUCAAUGGGGGUCAAUGGGGAUUAAUGGGAUCAAUGGGCUCAAUGGGAUCAAUGGGGUCAUUGGGAUUAAUGGGCUCAAUGGGCUCAAUGGGGUCAAUGGGAUUUAAACCCCCCCCACCCCCAUUCAUACCCCCACCUGACCGCCCCCUGCGCUCCCAUUGGCUGAAGCCGACGCAGAGUCGCCGUCCUAUUGGCUGA
rnacentral:lncRNA from 1 species